AGUACCGGCACUGUAUUUGUGUAACAGGAGCCUGGAGACGGACGACACUUUUGGCCUUGAAGGUGACAUGAUGAGUUAUGUGUGUGAGCCAGAAACAGAGAGCUACGGACGCGGCCCAGGUCAAAGCAUUUAUUCCCAGUAGAGAAACGUCUCAUGGUGAUUAGAAGGGGCACGACGGCUCCAGUACCAUGACGGACAGAAGACGGACAUUAUAAAUGUGACCGCACUAGAUUCAAAAAGACUUCACAGGAUAUGGAUCCGUCCACUCUACUCUGCCAAGAAAACUGAAACAACUGAACCCCAUCACCUGGAAUCAAACGCUCAACCUCAAAGACCCGAGCUCGGACUUUGUUCUGGACUUGUUCAUUUUUGCCGGCAGAGUUGAGCCGUGUCAGUAUUUCAACGUAGGCAAACCAAUGAGUUUCAUCAAACCAUCAAAUUGAAUUCCUGACUAAUGAUUCACUGAUGCCUUUUACGACCUCAAGCAGUAAUAACAACUGAACAAAAUGUAACACUGAUGAAUAAAAGAAAGAAACUAAUUUUUCGUA